rnacentral:lncRNA from 1 species
UGGGUUCCUCUGGAGGCUCUAGGAGAGAAUUCCCUCCUGAAGCUUUCCAGUGGAGGUGGGUGGCUGUGUGCUGGGACUGACCCCCCAUAAGUGUCAGCAGCAGAGCUAGGGCAGGGAGGGGGCGUGGGCAGCUGGUCUGCUUUCCACAGAGCCUGGCAUUUGGGGCCCUACUGGGGGAAUGCAGCCCACACACACGAGCCCUGCUAGCUGGAAAGGUUGAGCUAAGGUCCUCAGUGAGGCGUGGCCAAGGCCUUCUCAGAGACAGCAUGGUGGGAGGCUUAGCUUCCUCUGACUUGGGGUGGGAAGGGGUUGGCCUAUGUUGUAAAGCUCAUACUGGCUGAUGGGCUACGGUCCUAGGGGUGCUCAUGAGCCUAAGCACACACUGUGCAGCCCAGAGACCUGGCCUAAGGGGAGGUCCAGGUGGGUGGGGGAAACGCAGGCCAUGUCACUUUCUGUACAGUGGCCCCAGUUACCGAUGCUGAGGCAGCAGCAUCCCCCUCCCUCCCUAACAGCCUGAGUCCGGCUCAGGAGACACCUGCCCUUCUCUUAUUGUCUUUGGUCUGCACAGCAGCUGUGAAGAACCAGGCCUAAUAACACCACUUUGUGGGUGACACCGCUGAAGUGGCCUUGCUGGUGAGUGGCCCAGCAGACCUCACUCCUGAAGAUGUCCUGGCCCUUUCCCUUGGUGUCAGUGAUGUCCACCACACAGCAAAUGGCCAGACACUGCAUGGCUUGAUGCAACACACGUUUCUGUUCUCACAGUUCCUAUGGGGCAGGAGUCCAGGCCUGGCUGACCUGGGGCCUCUGCUCAGCGUCUCAUGAGGCUGCAAUCAAGUGUUGGCUGGGUCGCAUUCUCAUCUGGAGGCUCAACUGGGGGGAAAUUGGCUCCCAAGCUCAUUGGGGUUGCUGGCAGAACUCAUUUCCUUGUGGCUCUAGAACUCAUGGAGGCCUGUUUCUUCAAGACCAGCAGGAGAGAGCAUCUGACCCUGAGGUCCAGGCCCUCCUUUAAGGGCUUCUGCCUGAAGAACGCAGGCUCACCAAGUGUGAUAUUAAUACUUCAAAAUCCACCAGCCUUGAUCUGC